UCCCUGGUGGCUCAGAUGGUAUAGAAUCUGCCUGCAAUGCAGGAGACCUGGGUUAGAUCUCCUGUUUGGGAA
rnacentral:tRNA from 1 species